UGCCCAUCCCAUGUGGGAUGGGCAAGAGAAGAGAAGCCUGGGGCUUCUUUAUUUAAAGAAGCCUCAGGCUUCUUACUGAUUAGUUUAAUUUUUUUUUUUUUAAUAAAAUGGAGGGUGUUUUGGGGAAGGAAAAUCCUUCCCCAAAACGCCAAUCCCAAACGCUGCUCCUAGCAGCGUUUGGGAUUUCAGCGGUUUGGAGCAAACCGCUGCUCCAAACCGCUGAUAACCAAACAUGAUUUUUUGGCGUUUUGACGAAAGUCAAAACGUCAAAAUGCUAAUCUUGAUCAAAU